UGAAAGUGUACUUGGCGCAGGGAGGAUAUUUUCGGAUGCCAUCUUUAAUGUAUUCAUUAUUUACUAUACUAGAUGGAUGAGCAUAACGCGUUACUUUGGAAUCGUGUUUCGUAAGUUAAUAUGGUCUCAAAAUAUUCGAGAAAAUUCUUGUGAACUGUCUAGUGCAGUUUCCAAUCUCUAAAAACAGAAAAAUCAGAAAAAAAUUAAGGGCAAUCCCAUGAAAGGACUUGCCAGAGUUUUGAUGAGGAAAUUUUUGGCGAUCUGUGAUUCCUAAAAAAGUUUUUUUUCCGUGACUCCUCUCCCUGUUUGAGACUAAGAGUGGCGUACAUCAUACCUGAUUCUAAAAAUAGUACAGCGGUCUCCGAUGCGUCAGCAUUUGAAAAAAUCAUUCAGAACGUAGGUUCUCGAUCUGAAAAGUUGUAAACGUCAGCCAAGUCUCACUGUACAAUGUGGCCCCGUACCUGCCUUUUCCUCUUAGUUGCGUUCCGUUCGUUACCCUACAGCGAAACGGAUGCGGGGUUGCCAGAUCAAACAGGGAUUCCGAGCAGAGGAUACUCAUUAAGAGGAACAGAUCAGGGAAACGAAGUCGACUCGCACGAAGCUGAGAGGGUGUGCGACAGUUCGAGUUCCUCGCAUGUAAAGAGCUGCCACGCUUACUGCAACUCUUUGUGGGGUAGGGUCUCUCUGUUCAACUGGCCAUGGUCCCGGGGAAUGUGCUACAAGAGCGAGUGCAUUUGCAAAUUCAACCAUGUGGAUCUGUAUCCAUACGCAGAUCCAUGCACUUACAGGUCUGUUUGGGGAUCGCUCAGAAGCAACAAGAAGAUAGCCCGUCGAGCAGUUGAGGUAUAAAUCAAUCGGACUCUUAAAUAUAUGGACGAGAUAAAGAAGGUGAAAUUGAACAGCACCAUAACUGUUUUUAAGUGGAAAAUUAGAUUGCCUAAUUAAAGUUGGCAAACAUUGAUGUGACUUAGUUCAUUUUUCUUUAACGCAGUCC
rnacentral:lncRNA from 1 species